rnacentral:snRNA from 1 species
CAGUUUCUUCUUUCAUAGGUGAU